AUUGAACGCUGGCGGCAGGCUUAACACAUGCAAGUCGAACGAGUGGCGGACGGGUGAGUAAUAUCUGGGAACCUGCCCGGUAGCGGGGGAUCACUACUCGACACAGUCGCUAAUCCCGCAUACUAUCAGAUCGGCACAUAUGGGAUUAGCUAGUUGGUGGGGUAAAGGCUCCCCAAGGCCACGAUCCAUAGCUGGUCUGAGAGGAUGAUCAGCCACACUGGGACUGAGACACGGACCAGAGUCCUACGGGAGGCAGCAGUGGGGAAUAUUGCACAAUGGGCGCAAGCCUGAUGCAGCCAUGCCGCGUGUAUGAAGAAGGCCUGAGGGUUGUAAAGUACUUUCAGUAGGGAGGCGUUACCCGCAGAAGAAGCACCGGCUAACUCCGUGCCAGCAGCCGCGGUAAUUC
rnacentral:rRNA from 1 species